CUUGUUAAUCUACUGUAAACUAAUAAAUCAGUGUGUUAAUAAUAUCACACAAGAGAAUGGUGUCUUUCUGUAUCCUUUCCCAGAAGAGGAGACCUGGAUCAUCCUCUAACUACGAUGUUCGGCCCUCAAUGACCUGCAUAGCAAGUACAGGUUAAAUUAGCUGGGGGGCAGGAAGGUAAAACAUCAAAAAUCACAUCAGGAGACGAAGAUUUAUCAGAGGAGGUUUAUAUAAAGGCUUAGCUCUAUCUUCAACUACUGCAGUACAAGAAAUUCAAAACAUGUUAAUAAUAUCACACAAGAGAACGGUGUCUUUCUGCAUCCUUCCACAAAAGAGGGCACCUGGAUCAUUCUCUGACUCUGAUGUUUGGCGAUUGGGGACCUGCAUAGCAUAUAUGGGUACCCAAGGAAGUUACCACCUUCUAUGUCUAUUAGCCGGGUGAUGCUUAUAUAAUCUUUGACCGAGGGUUCAAUCAGCUGCAGGCAGAUGAAUAUGCAUCAGGAGACAAAGAUUUAUGAUAAAUGGAGGAUAGCAUGACAUAGUUUAGCUCAAUCUUGUAUUUCUAAACACUAGAUUACAAGGAAUUAAAAGAAUACGUCAGUUCAUUUACAAGAGUAUUGAAAAACUGUGGCGACAAGAGUUUUUGCGACACGGAGUUAUUUGAAUGGUACUUGGCAACACGGCACUGCAAAUACUGCGACACUGGCUGUGUUCAAACAAUUUUCACCUUUAAAAGAUAUAUAAUAUGUUAAUAAUACCACACGAGAGAACGGUGAUUGAUGUUUGGCCAUUGGGGACCUGCAUGGCAUAUAUGGGUACCCAAGAGCGUUAAGUAGACACCUGCACAACCUAAAAGAAGAGACCUUGUGACGUUUGGCCAUCAUUCUGGUUUACGAGUUGUUCUUCCAUUAUGUGAAUAAAAGUAAUUAAAAGAGCGUUUCUUACUCUAUAUUGUACCAUAUAAACAAUAAUAAUAAGCUCUUGAACCUAGACGCUAGAGGGCGUUGUCUUACAAUUUAAUAAA
rnacentral:lncRNA from 1 species